GACGAACGCUGGCGGCGUGCCUAAUACAUGCAAGUCGAGCGGACUUGAUGGAGAAGCUUGCUUCUUCUGAAGGUUAGCGGCGGACGGGUGAGUAACACGUAGGCAACCUGCCUUUCAGUUUGGGAUAACUUCCGGAAACGGAUGCUAAUACCGAAUACAUCAUCUUCUGGCAUCAGAGGAUGAGGAAAGACGGCGCAAGCUGUCACUGAGAGAUGGGCCUGCGGCGCAUUAGCUAGUUGGUGGGGUAAUGGCUCACCAAGGCGACGAUGCGUAGCCGACCUGAGAGGUUGAACGGCCACACUGGGACUGAUACACGGCCCAGAGUCCUACGGGAGUCAGCAGUAGGGAAUCUUCCUCAAUGGGCGAAAGCCUGAUGGAGCAAUGCCGCGUGAGUGAUGAAGGUUUUCGGAUCGUAAAGCUCUGUUGCCAGGGAAAAACGUCCAGGUGAGUAACUGCACCUGGAGUGACGGUACCUGAGAAGAAAGCCCCGGCUAACUACGUGCCAGCCGCCGCCGUAACAC
rnacentral:rRNA from 1 species